rnacentral:rRNA from 1 species
AACAACUCACCUGCCGAAUGAAUUAGCCCUGAAAAUGGAUGGCGCUUAAGCGAGCAGCCGACACCACGCCGUCUGAUCAAAAGUGGGUAUCCGGAUGAGUAGGUGGGAGCGCGGCGGUUGUAUAGAAGCGUACGGGCGACUGUACGUGGAACGGCCGCUGGUGCAGAUCUUGGUAGUAGUAGCAAAUAUUCAAGUUCAAUCCUUGAAGGGCGAAGCGGGGAAGGGUUCCACGCGAACAUUGAUUGAGCGUGGGUGAGUCGUUCCUAAGCCGCGUGGUUAUUGCUAAUUACCGGCGAAAGGGAAGCAGGUUGACAUUCCUGCACACGGAUGUGGAGGCGGUGACGCCCGUCGGGCAGGUUACGUUGGCGGUGGCUCUGGGCAGAGUUUUCUUUUCUGUUUGACCGUCCCAAUUGCGCUGUGUGGAAUCCGCUUGUCGGGAGAAACACGCGUGAGCGGGCAAAGCGCCGGGGUUUUUCCGGCGUCCAGAUCGCCACCGACAGCCCUUGAAACACCUGUCGCUGGGGUAAAGAUUGCCUUGUGCAAUUUUUGCUUGACAAAUCCACGCCGUAACGUACCCAUAACCGCAUCAGGUCCCCAAGGUGAACAGCCUCUGCUCAAUAUGAUCAAU